GGAAUAUUGGUCAAUGGACGCAAGUCUGAACCAGCCAUGCCGCGUGGAGGAUGAAGGUCCUCUGGAUUGUAAACUUCUUUUAUCGGCGAAGAAACCCAGACAUUCUUGUUUGGUUGACGGUACCCGAUGAAUAAGCACCGGCUAACUCCGUGCCAGCAGCCGCGGUAAUCCGGAGGGUGCAAGGGUUAUCCGGCUUCACUGGUUUUAAUGGGUGCGGAGGUGGGUUGGUAAGUCAGUGGUGAGAUCUCCGGGCUUAACUCGGAAACUGCCGUUGAUACUAUCAAUCUUGAAUGUUGUGGAGGUAAGCGGAAUAUGUCAUGUAGCGGUGAAAUGCUUAGAUAUGACAUAGAACACCGAUAGCGAAGGCAGCUUGCUACACAAUAAUUGACACUGAGGCACGAAAGCGUGGGGAUCAAAC
rnacentral:rRNA from 1 species